rnacentral:rRNA from 1 species
UACGUAGGGUGCAAGCGUUGUCCGGAAUUAUUGGGCGUAAAGAGCUCGUAGGCGGCCAACUAAGUCAGACGUGAAAUCCCUCAGCUUAACUGGGGAACUGCGUCUGAUACUGGAUGGCUUGGAUUUGGGAGAGGAAUGCGGAAUUCCAGGUGUAGCGGUGAAAUGCGUAGAUAUCUGGAGGAACACCGGUGGCGAAGGCGGCAUUCUGGACCAAUAUUGACGCUGAGGAGCGAAAGCCAGGGGAGCAAACGGG